rnacentral:lncRNA from 1 species
CGCCGAAUAACGUAAUCCGUUAGUUGACGUAUAGAAUAGACUUUUAGGAUGAAAAUCCCUCGAACUUGUUUGGAAAAUCCAACAGACUGAAUUUUCUAUAGAACCAUAAAUUAUACAAUCGAUUUAAGCUACACUCAUAUGAACUUAAUCCCUUUCAAACCUAAAUUAUAUGAGAGGAUAAAGAUAUUUCUUCUUCAUCUUGUAGUCUAAUAAAUUUAUAGAUGGCAUUUAGGCUAAAACUAGGACGAGCCUUUAGAAGAAAAUAGACUGGACAGAUUAAUAGGCCUGAUUCCUAUAGAAAAUCUGGCUCAGUCCUGCUAAAUUUCCUAAACAAGCCUCAAGUGCCUUGGUUCUUUUCUCAUCACCCCCCUUCAAGCAGCCCAUUUUCACCAUGCCACCCCCUCCACGGUGGUAAUUAUAUCUAUCAAUCUCCACCACUCCAUCAUCAUUUUCAUCAAGCACAUCAACAACUCCUCUUUCGCCCAUACUAGGUACCCGUCGUUGCACCACUAUGUGGGUGGACAAUGGAUACAAGUAGCACCGAUUCGAGAUGGGUCACCAAUUUGAUAGCUCGAAGGCGCAAGACAAAGCUGCAAAGUAAUAACCUAAACUAACAAAGUGAUAAUCUAAAUUGUUAACCAAAGUAAUAGUCUAAAUUGUAAAGUAAAAUUAAAUAAAACCUAUAAAAAGGAAGCAUAAAAUAAAUUUUAAAAUCUAAAGAUUGAGAAUUAAACCACCAAAGAAUAACUAGUAGCAAAAAUAUAUGUUAUGGAUUUGCCUAAUAUGUAUUUUAAACUAAUAUAUAUCAAACACUAACCAAAGGAACAAAGAGAUUCAAGCCAAAGCCAGUUCUAAAAGGCUGCUACAUAUAAGAAAAUAAUCUUAGAGAUCUUAUACAAUUAAGCAAUGUUAAGAUAAGUCAAAGAUUUUAUUUAGUCAAUCGAUGUCAAGAUGAGUCAUAAAUCUUGUCAUGAUG